AACAUAAUUUGUAUUGGACAAAUUCAAAUGGUCUAUCUGCGUUUUGCUCUGUUUUGUUCCAUUCUAUCCAACUUGUAUUUGUGGAAAGUUCCACAGGCAAACAGAAAAGUUUAUUAUAUCAAAACCCGUUCGUGAUCGGCAAAAACACUUGUAAACAAAGGGCGUCCUGUAACAGUGUAUCCCUAACCAACCAUCUCCCUACCGUGUUGUGAUCAAGAGAAACUGCUGUACACACAGAGCCCAGGUCUAAUCUGGGGAGAAGCAGCAUCCAGAAUAUAUUAGAGGAAAGUGGUGAACCCAUUUAAUUUCUCAUGGUGAGGAAAACAGCGAGUGUUGUCACACUGAGGAGCAGUUCUCCCGGUCUGUGUGUCUACAACCUGGACUAAGAUGGUGCCACAAGUGACUGGACAGUAAAUAUUAUUGUUGAGUUUGAGUUCCAAUCAGUUUUAUCCCACUGGCCACUUUAACAUUAGUCCUGGAUCUCUGUCAUUUGUUUGAGCCUCUCUCCUUUCCUCUGUCCCCUCUCUUUUAUGUGCUCUGGGUAACAUACUGCCGUCAUCUUUUGUUUUACCACCCAGCUGUUAACAUCAUCCACAUCUCUCCUCAUCCUGUCUUCUGUGCGGCCGUGUGUCAAAUCCAUCAGUGCUCGCAUCAAUACAGAGUUUACAGUCAUUGACCCGCAGAUGAAACACUGAAGUAGCUUUUUUAUUACUUAUUCAAUUUGCUUGUGACGUAUCGUCCUGCAUGCUUUUGAUAAAAAGCACUGAUAAAAUACACGUAUAUAUGGCCUUUUUUUGCAGGGUCUCUGCAAUUCAUAGAAAUUGCACAAUCUCCGCACAAAUCUCUGUUUGUGCGAGAGGAUGUGAAUGUGUACGUGUUUUGGCAAGUCGUGACUAUGGUUGUGUGUGCCAAGAACAACACAGAGAGUUAGAGGGCCUUCCAUGAGUAGAAAUCUAGA